rnacentral:rRNA from 1 species
CUACGGGACGCUGCAGUGGGGAAUAUUGGACAAUGGGGGAAACCCUGAUCCAGCAAUGCCGCGUGUGUGAAGAAGGCCUGCGGGUUGUAAAGCACUUUCGGUUGGGAGGACUGCUUCUAGCACUAAUAUUGUUGGAAGUUGACGUUACCUUCAGAAGAAGCACCGGCUAACUCCGUGCCAGCAGCCGCGGUAAUACGGAGGGUGCAAGCGUUAAUCGGAAUUACUGGGCGUAAAGCGCGCGUAGGCGGCUAGAUCAGUCGGGUGUGAAAGCCCCGGGCUUAACCUGGGAACUGCAUCCGAUACUGUCUAGCAUGAGUACAGGAGAGGAGAGUGGAAUUCCACAUGUAGCGGUGAAAUGCGUAGAUAUGUGGAGGAACACCAAUGGCGAAGGCAGCUCUCUGGCCUGAUACUGACGCUGAGGUGCGAAAGCGUGGGAGCAAACAGGAUUAGAUACCCUUGUAGUC